rnacentral:rRNA from 1 species
GAUGAACGCUAGCGGCAGGCCUAAUACAUGCAAGUCGGACGGGAUUGAGGAGCUUGCUUCUCAUGAGAGUGGCGCACGGGUGCGUAACACGUAUGUAACCUACCUUAAUCAGGGGGAUAGCCUCUCGAAAGAGAGAUUAACACCGCAUAACAUGAUGAGAUAGCAUUAUUUUAUCAUCAAAUAUUUCUAGGAUUAAGAUGGGCAUGCGGGACAUUAGCUAGUUGGCGGGGUAACGGCCCACCAAGGCGACGAUGUCUAGGGGAUCUGAGAGGAUGGCCCCCCACACUGGUACUGAGACACGGACCAGACUCCUACGGGAGGCAGCAGUAAGGAAUAUUGGUCAAUGGGCGCAAGCCUGAACCAGCCAUGCCGCGUGCAGGAAGACGGCCCUACGGGUUGUAAACUGCUUUUGUACGGGAAUAAACCUUGAUACGUGUAUCAAGCUGAAUGUACUGUAAGAAUAAGGAUCGGCUAACUCCGUGCCAGCCGCCGCAGUAA